GGUGAAGAAGAGAAAAAUACGUGACAAAGAAAACAUUCUCUGCCUGGGAGGAGACUCACAGAGGGUGUAGAGCUGGAGAGAGCAUUCACUGGCCAUGCCAGUACUUACCACUGAUGCUGAGUCAGAAACAGGUAUCCCAAAAUCCCUUUCCAAUGAGCCUCCCUCAGAAACCAUGGAGGAAAUAGAGCACACAUGCCCACAGCCUCGACUGACCUUGACUGCACCUGCCCCAUUUGCAGAUGAAACCAGCUGCCAGUGCCAAGCACCCCAUGAAAAACUGACCAUUGCUCAGGCCCGCUUAGGAACACCAGUUGACCGGCCUGUCAGAGUUUAUGCCGAUGGAAUAUUUGACCUCUUCCACUCAGGUCAUGCAAGGGCACUUAUGCAAGCAAAAACCCUGUUUCCCAACAGCUACUUGUUGGUAGGAGUUUGCAGUGAUGACCUCACCCACAAAUUCAAAGGUUUCACUGUGAUGAACGAGGCGGAGAGAUAUGAAGCCCUCAGACACUGUCGCUAUGUGGACGAAGUCAUUAGAGAUGCUCCAUGGACCCUCACUCCAGAGUUUCUGGAAAAACACAAGAUUGACUUUGUGGCUCAUGAUGACAUUCCCUACUCUUCUGCUGGCUCUGAUGAUGUGUACAAGCAUAUCAAAGAAGCUGGAAUGUUUGUUCCAACGCAGAGAACGGAAGGCAUCUCAACAUCAGACAUCAUCACCAGAAUCGUCCGUGACUAUGAUGUUUAUGCCCGACGCAACCUCCAGAGAGGGUACACAGCCAAGGAACUAAAUGUCAGCUUUAUAAAUGAGAAGAAGUACCGCUUCCAAAACCAGGUAGACAAGAUGAAGGAAAAGGUCAAGAACGUGGAGGAACGAUCAAAAGAAUUUGUCAACAGAGUGGAAGAAAAGAGUCAUGAUCUAAUUCAGAAGUGGGAAGAGAAGUCGAGAGAAUUCAUCGGCAACUUCCUAGAGCUGUUCGGGCCUGACGGUGCAUGGAAGCAGAUGUUCCAGGAGAGGAGUAGCCGGAUGCUGCAGGCCUUGUCCCCGAAGCAGAGCCCAGUGAGCAGCCCUACCAGGAGCCGGUCCCCUUCCCGCUCCCCGUCGCCCACCUUCUCAUGGCUCCCGAACAAAGCCUCGCCCCCCUCCUCACCCAAAGCGGCCUCAGCCUCCAUCAGCAGCAUGAGUGAGGGGGAUGAGGAUGAGAAGUAAAGGCUGCUGGCAGGCAAUGAGAGCCACUCCACACAGGCUGGGGCCAGGGUGGGGUCCCCGGGCGCACCUGGGUGGGGUUGGAAGGGUCAUGGUCGUGGAGGGGGGGUGCUGCGGCCCAGCUAAGGGAAGGCCUGGGGACCAGCUCUCCCCCAGUCUCCACUCGACCUAAAUCGUGGGCUCUGCAUGGAGGUUUCCAGCCGGACAACCUUGACAAACCUUCUUAGCAGCAUCCAGAAUCACUCUACUCUAACCUUGCUAAGGAAAGAGGCAGAGCACCCCCAGGAGACUUGCACCAAGUGGGGUGUCUUCUGUCCUGGUCCUUGCACCCACCCCCACUGAGUCCAUCACCUGCGGAAGCGGUCUGCUCCUUCCAGCUCAUAAGGGCCCUGCACGUUGCCUCCUCCCAUCCAAGCUCUGCCAGAAUAAAGUGGUUUCUCGUAGAGGCGGCACAGUGCUUCUGACCCGGCCGAGUUCCAGACGGAGUCCAGCUUCCUCGGCUGAGCCACUGAGACCUGAUGUUGCAACACACCGAUCCUUGCUAGGUCCAGGAACGUGGUGCACAGACCAAGACACGCUUUAGGCCAGAUACCUAAAAGGUCAUCUAGCAUGAAUCUUAACUUCUUAUCCGAAAGACAGUUUUGUCGAGGAGAACGCCACAGAAGGCCUAAUAUGUUCCUCGUUGUACUUUUUCAUCUUUGGUUUGGCCUCACGGCUUUCCAGAAAUUACCUUAAUCUGUGGGAAAUGCAACAAACAACAUUUUGCGUGCGUGUCACACACACACCUAUGUAGGGAGAAGCUGCUCUGCUUUGGCUCUGGGUUUGGCAGAUGGUCAAGGUCUCCUGGAGCUUCUCCUUAAAGGAUGCUAACUGUGGAAUGGCUUUUCCCAGGUCCAACCACUUAAUAAUUUCGUGGACCUCAAGGAACCGUUUGAUGUACCAAACCACAUAGUAUGCCAGUAGGGGGUGCUACCUGCACGUCUCUGUCCUACGUAUGCUCCACAUGUGCUCUCCGGGGUGUAGACCAUAUGCAAUACGAAUAUAUGGUGGUAGAAUUGUACAGCACACUCUCCUGCUCUCACCCUAAUACCCUGCUGAAGUCCUUGGUCUAAUGAACUACCCAGGUCCCUCGUGACUUGGGCGCUUUGUCAAAAACUCAUCCUGGAUUCCUGUAGCAAGGUCUUGACCCAACCAGGAAGUGAGCGUGCUGUUCUCACAGCCUCCUGUCAUAGUUUUGGGUGGAGGGAGGCUCUGGAGGGUUUCCCGGAGCAGUGUCGGAAUCUGUUUGAUCUCAGCAUAGACACGGUCCAGGCGGUUAGACCGCUGAGCCCACCCCUAGGUGUGCCAGAUGCAGUUGCGUGCAGUUCCUGGCCACGAACGACAGGGCGGGAAGGAGCAGGCGGAGUCAGGGGGUAGAACCACACUCUCAGGUAGAGGAGGCGUGGCCGGUCUGUCCCAGUACAGCCAGACACAGCUGGGGCCCGAGCAGAGGCCCAAACCAGCAACUUGGGACAAAAGCUCAGCACCUCUAGUGACAGAAACACCCCUCUUCUGAGGCCUCGGGAACCAGCCUUCUGGGUGACAAGUGUGGCAACCAAUGAAGGAAGGUGGCACGUCUUUCCCCCUGGUGCCGGGGCUGAACCGCCUCCCCGCCCACCUGGAGAGAAGUGGUGUUUACUGGGAAGCAAGACGGUGAGGCUGAGCCAGCUUGGAGCCCCGUCAGCCCCGGCCCCCUCUCCAGAGGGAUGAUGAGCACUCGUGUGGGACAAAGAGCUGGCCGGGCCGCGGCCCGCGAGAAGGAGCCUGUUUGCGGUCAAGGCCUGGAGCGCUGCCCUGCCUCGGGGCGGAGGGAGGCUGAGGAGAGCCAGGCAGGGCCAGGUGGGGGAGAACAAGGGAAGGCAAAGGGAGAGAAGAGGGGCCUCGGGAGCGGAAAGGACACUAGAGAAGAUCUAUGCUCUCAAACCAUCUCAGGAACUAGGCGCGCAGGGGAAACUGCCUUGGGAAGGCCUCCGAGGGCCUGCUCCCUCGCCCAGCGCAGGCCGCCCUUAGCGGAAGUGUGCUCCGAAGCCGCUCAUGUGGGGCUGAUCUAGCAGGCCUCCCACAAUGUGCCGACAGGUGCCACUUGUGUGACCCAGAUUCAGCGCCAGGUACGGGAAAUGACCGAUGUGUGGGAUGUUUCAGGGAUGGGCCGCAGCCGUUCCAAAUCGCACCCUAUGUGGCCCUGCAGACCUCCACCAGUACCUCCCCCCCCCCCCCCCGUUUUAAG